rnacentral:lncRNA from 10 species
AGUAAAGAUUAAAUGUGCUUCUCAAAGGCAGCCACUUCAUGCUGCUAUGUCGAAAGGGCCAUUAUUAUUAUUAUAUUUUAAUGGUAAAAGAGAAAAGGAGAGAGGUUGAGCGAGCGAGAGAGAAGCUAGGUGUGAUGAUGACAGACUAGCUUUUCUGAGAGGAAAAGGAAAAGGGAAGGGAGAGAAAAAGGAGAGCCUCUGAGCUCAACGGAGGAUUGUGCCUGAGAAGAACCCACAGAGGAAAGCCCCACUUCCAGUCUGAUGAGGAAAGCGACAAUCUAUCAGGUACAGAACCAGGGGCUGUCUGCGAAGAUGGAGGGGAAUUAUGCUUCGGAUUCCUCUGAAAUAUUGGCCAAAGGCUUCAAAGAAUCCGCAGCGGGAGGUGCGGGGGGAAUGUCUCUCCCCAGCCCGCACCCAGCCCUUCCCACUUCGUGUCUACCAAAUGACAGCCUGGUGCUCGCUCUUGGUGAUUUGGCCUUGACUUCAGCCAAGCAGCUGAUGCAGACGAAGCCUCCGUUUGCAGGACUGGCAAAGUGCACGCUAAAGAAAGAAGGAAGAAAUUUUUCAAAAAGCAGCUCUGGGGAGGUUUCAU